UAUGACACUGAAGCGUAACCGAA
rnacentral:miRNA from 1 species